CGGACGGGUGAGUAACGCGUGAGCAAUCUGCCUUUAGGAGGGGGAUAACAGUCGGAAACGGCUGCUAAUACCGCAUAAUACGUUUGGGAGGCAUCUCUUGAACGUCAAAGAUUUUAUCGCCUUUAGAUGAGCUCGCGUCUGAUUAGCUGGUUGGCGGGGUAACGGCCCACCAAGGCGACGAUCAGUAGCCGGACUGAGAGGUUGAACGGCCACAUUGGGACUGAGACACGGCCCAG
rnacentral:rRNA from 1 species